GUCAAAAGGACGCUGAGUCUUAUAAUCAUAAUGUUCUAUCGUUAAAAUGAUAACGUCCUAAGGACCCUGUUGUGGUGAGGGUAUGUCUCGAGACACAGUUAGUUAACUGAGUCUGGACUCCUAUUCAGCAUCAGAUUCAAGAUCACAACAUCAUUACAUGAUCCUAGAAGCUGUAUAAAGGAGACUGACUGGCUGGGUGUCCUUCUCCCCUUCCUGUGCAGUAGGACUUAAUGACUGUCUCCAGCUGAGGACGUCUGUGUAAUGUUAUCAAUAGACAUGAUCUAAAGGAUUAUGAUCAAACUGGACUGCAUGAAGAACAAAGUAAAAUUAUGAGGAGGUGAUUGAAGUUGCAGUUCUUCUCAAAUCCCAGGACCCACACUAAGGCCAGUCUGCUGUACUUCCAACUGAUUCAUAAUAAUGCCCUGCCCAUUCGUCCAAAUACAUGUACCAAAUCACUGAUGAACGGUGUGGGCC